UACAGAGGCCUCGAGCGUUAGGCGGAAUCACUAGGCUUAAAGCGCGUGUAGGCGGAUCGUUAAGUGUCUUGUGAAAUCCCACGGCUCAACCGUGGAACUGCUGGGCAUACUGGCGAUCUUGGGCCACUCAGGGGCGACCGGAACAAGCGGUGGAGCGGUGAAAUGCGUAGAUAUCGCUUGGAACGCCAAAGGUGAAGACAGGUCGCUGGGGGUGUGCCGACGCUGAGACGCGAAAGCCAGGGGAGCAAACGGG
rnacentral:rRNA from 1 species